ACCCUGACUAAGUUGAGUGCUUCACCUAACUGAAAACAGUGUCAUAGUGUAUGGUUAGCAAUAUAAUUUGGUAACAGUAAUUAUGACAUAUAAAUUAAUUAAUUAUUUGGAUACUGCUGUUAGUGGCAAGUGGUUCACUUACCCUGACUAAGUUGAGUGCUUCACCUAACGGAAAACAGUGUCAUUGUGUAUGGUUAGCAAUAUAGUUUAGUAACAGUAAUUAUGGCAUAUUUAUUAAUCAAUUAAUUAAUUGGCUAUUACUGUUAGUGGUGAGUGGUUCAUUUACCCUGACUUAAGUUGGGUGCUUCACCUAACUGAAACAGUGUCAUAGUGUAUGGUUAGCAAUAUAGUUUAGUAACAGUAAUUAUGACAUAUUAAUUCAUUAAUUACUUGGAUGCUGCUGUUAGUGGCGAGUGGUUCACUUACCCUGACUAAUUUUGGUGCUCCGCCUAACUGUAAACAGUGUACUAACCUAAUCUAACCAUCCCUGAUCCUCCAUAACCUCGCCUAACCCUGAAAGAAAAUGUUGAGUACUGGUUGAAUCACGGCUUGCAUCAUUGAUUCCUGACGAAUGUCCAGUUGUCUCAAGUUUUAAACACAUAACCCUAUACACUCUAUUUUUGAUUAUUAGUACUUGCUACCUUGUACUUGCUACCUUGUACUUGGUAACACUGUGUAUGCAUGGGAUGUCUUUUAACCUGUAAUGUGGAGUUAUCAAUACAUAUUUGCUAGAAUAAUCAGAUGAGAAUCAUUGUCUAGCUUGGUUCAGAGUUCGGACGCAUUUUUGUGCUAAUCUUUAUGGCAAGCAUGAUAGAGAAGUGGAAUGAUUCUUGCGCAAGAUUUUGGUGAUGGGGCAGCAAGAAACCAAAGUAGGUGGAAAAUGAAUGAUUGAACUUGAACAGAGAUAUGGGGCUGAGUUUAAAGACAUUGAUAAUUCAGGUUGCAGAUGCUUUUCUGUAAUGGAGCUGAUGAUGGUGGAGGUUUCCAGCAAGACGCAGAAACCAGUUCGACAAGAAGUCAAAGUUGAUAUAUCUGAUUAUCGAUAUCAUGAACAAUCGACUUUCUUGUCGACUCCCUCUGAGAAGUGGUCUGAAACAUGUAAGAUAACUCAACCAAGGACAAAGAGAGUUGAAGGCAGGUGGCAAAAGAAUGAAUGACCUAGUCAGAAAAUAUGAAUAUGAUCUCUUGAAUAUGAAUGUGGAAGGUCAUACUCAUGUACUAUUGUCAUGCAAACGCCAAUUACCAGCUAUAGAUGCUGUGAUCAAGUAUUUAUUGGAAAGUGAUGAUGCAGAGUCCACAGUAGACAAGGUUUCUGAAGUUGCUCUAUACUUGACUGUAUGUGGCAAUCCAGCCAAACCAAGCCAUGUUAUUGGCAUCCGAGCUCAUCAUCAUGUUCGAAAUUCAGUGCAGCAACAGCAUAUGCCAUCCAGCACUAUUGCUUGCGGUAAUUUAUGUUUUCAAUACAAAUUUCUUUCAAUCUUUAGCAACUUUUUACUGGUGCCUGGACGUCAUGUUACUGCAUGGGAUGUACUUCAAGUCCAGUGAUAUCUAGUUUUUUAGCUGGAUUGCACUGAGGAACUUUGUUUGAUGAACUGUGUUUUGCUUUUUGUUUAGUGCGUUGACUCACUGUUUUUGGUUUAAAUGUUUAAAUACAAGCAAUGGUAUUAAAAUCUAUUCUAAUGU